rnacentral:rRNA from 1 species
UAAAGGGUCCGUAGCCGGCUUAUUAAGUCUCUUGGGAAAUCUGGCGACUUAAUCGUCAGGCGUCCAAGAGAUACUGAUAGGCUUGGGACCGGGAGAGGUGGGAGGUACUCCAGGGGUAGGGGUGAAAUCUCGUAAUCCUUGGGGGACCACCGAUGGCGAAGGCAUCCCACCAGAACGGGUCCGACGGUGAGGGACGAAAGCUGGGGGCACGAACCGGAUUAGAUACCCGGGUAGUCCCAGCUGUAAACGAUGCUCGCUAGGUGUCAGGUGCGGUGCGACCGCAUCUGGUGCCGCAGUGAAAACUUGAAGCGAGUCACCUGGGAAGUACGGUCGCAAGGCUGAAACUUAAAGGAAUUGGCGGGGGAGCACUACAACGGGUGGAGCCUGCGGUUCAAUUGGAUUCAACGCCGGAAAGCUUACCGGGUCAGACAGCAAUAUGAAGGUCAAGCUAAAGACUUUACCGAAUUCGCUGAGAGGAGGUGCAUGGCCGUCGUCAGUUCGUAUCGUGAGACAUCCUGUUAAGUCAGGCAACGAGCAAGACCCGUGCCCACAGUUGCCAGCAUACCCUCCGGGGUGAUGGGCACACUGUGGGGACCGCCGCUGCUAAGCGGAGGAAGGGGCGGGCUACGGUAGGUCAGUAUGCCCCGAAUCAUCCGGGCUGCACGCGGGCUACAAUGGUUGGGACAAUGGGCACCUACACCGAGAGGUGAUGGUAAUCUCCUAAACCCAGCCUUAGUUCGGAUUGAGGGCUGCAACUCGCCCUCAUGAAGCCGGAAUCCGUAGUAAU